CAGCAGCCGCGGUAACACGGAGGGUGCAGGCGUUAAUCGGAAUUACUGGGCGUAAAGCGUGCGUAGGCGGUUCGUUAAGUCUGUUGUGAAAGCCCCGGGCUCAACCUGGGAAUGGCAAUGGAUACUGGCGAGCUAGAGUGUGUCAGAGGAUGGUGGAAUUCCCGGUGUAGCGGUGAGAUGCGUAGAGAUCGGGAGGAACAUCAGUGGCGAAGGCGGCCAUCUGGGACAACACUGACGCUGAGGCACGAAAGCGUGGGGAGCAAACAGGAUUAGAUACCCCGGUAGUCCCUGUCUCUUAUAC
rnacentral:rRNA from 1 species